CCUACGGGUGGCAGCAGUAGGGAAUUUUCGGCAAUGGGGGGAACCCUGACCGAGCAACGCCGCGUGAAGGAAGAAGGCCUUCGUUCUGUAAACUUCUGUUAUAAAGGAAGAAAGACGGAUUGAGUAAAUGACAUCCUAGUGACGGUACUUUCUGAGAAAGCCACGGCUAACUACGUGCCAGCAGCCGCGGUAAUUCGUAGGUGGCAAUCUGUAUCCGGAGUUAUUUGGCGUAAAGAAGGAGCAGGCGGCAGCAAAGGUCUGUGGUGAAAGACUGAAACUUAACUUCAGUAAGCCAUAGAAACCGGGCAGGUAGAGUGCAGGAGAGGAUCGUGGAAUUCGAUGUGUAGCGGUGAAAUGCGUAGAUAUAUGGAGGAACACCAGUGGCGAAGGCGACGAUCUGGCCUGCAACUGACGCUCAGUCCCGAAAGCGUGGGGAGCAAAUAGGAUUAGAUACCCGGGUAGUC
rnacentral:rRNA from 1 species